AAGAGCUGAUAAUUUGUGUUUCAUUGUUUUGAAUGUACGUUGGAUGUUGAGGAGGGAGAAUGUGUGAUACAUAAAGUUGUUUGAUUUAAUCUGUACGCAACGAUACACCAUUGCUGGUGAAAAGCAAUUCCGAGCGAAGUUCAGUUACGCAUGUUUUGAAAUGUUGUAAGUCAAAUUCGAUCUAUUCAAAUAUUUAUAUAUGUGUAUAAAGAAAAAGAUCUUUUCUGAUCACGUCACACCGCUCUAUACUGUGCUAGUAAUGAUGUAUGACUG